rnacentral:rRNA from 1 species
AUUGAACGCUGGCGGCAGGCCUAACACAUGCAAGUCGAACGAGUGGCGGACGGGUGAGUAAUGUCUGGGAAACUGCCUGAUGGAGGGGGAUAACUACUGGAAACGGUAGCUAAUACCGCAUACCAUCGGAUGUGCCCAGCUGGGAUUAGCUAGUAGGUGGGGUAAAGGCUCACCUAGGCGACGAUCCCUAGCUGGUCUGAGAGGAUGACCAGCCAAUCUGGAACGGAGACACGGUCCAGACUCAUACGGGAGGCAGCAGUGGGGAAUAUUGCACAAUGGGCGCAAGCCUGAUGCAGCCAGGCCGCGUGUAGGAAGAAGGCCGUCGGGUUGUAAAGGACUUUUAGCGGGGAGGCGGUACCAGUAGAAGAAGCACCGGCUAAGUCCGUGCCAGCAGCCGCGGUAAUUC